GGGGGCGACUGGUUUCGACACGAUAGGCUUGACGGAAGAAGCAGGCCGAGAUCUCCUCGUCUCGUAAAACAGGGGUACCGACGCAUAAACGUCGACAAUGAUUACGCCCUCGCUGCCUAAAUAGUGCAGCGACGCCGACCCGAUGAGCGUCCCCGUCAUCGGUAAGGCGCCACUUAGGGGACUGCUGCAGCACACGUAGGCGGUAUGGUGUUGCUUAUAGCCUGAACCGCCAUGGACGACGCACCGCGUGUCAUCAGGUAAUGCGCCGGCCGAGAACUCACUGAUGACUGAGCCUGGAGAUGCUUCCCGAUCGUGUAUCGUGGACCGGAGUUCGAUUCUCCGCGCCUCCACCA
rnacentral:tmRNA from 1 species